AGUCGAACGCUUCUUUCCUCCCGAGUGCUUGCACUCAAUUGGAAAGAGGAGUGGCGGACGGGUGAGUAACACGUGGGUAACCUACCCAUCAGAGGGGGAUAACACUUGGAAACAGGUGCUAAUACCGCAUAACAGUUUAUGCCGCAUGGCAUAAGAGUGAAAGGUGCUUUCGGGUGUCGCUGAUGGAUGGACCCGCGGUGCAUUAGCUAGUUGGUGAGGUAACGGCUCACCAAGGCCACGAUGCAUAGCCGACCUGAGAGGGUGAUCGGCCACACUGGGACUGAGACACGGCCCAGACUCCUACGGGAGGCAGCAGUAGGGAAUCUUCGGCAAUGGACGAAAGUCUGACCGAGCAACGCCGCGUGAGUGAAGAAGGUUUUCGGAUCGUAAAACUCUGUUGUUAGAGAAGAACAAGGACGUUAGUAACUGAACGUCCCCUGACGGUAUCUAACCAGAGAGCCACGGCUAACUACGUGCCAGCAGCCGCGGUAAUACGUAGGUGGCAAGCGUUGUCCGGAUUUAUUGGGCGUAAAGCGAGCGCAGGCGGUUUCUUAAGUCUGAUGUGAAAGCCCCCGGCUCAACCGGGGAGGGUCAUUGGAAACUGGGAGACUUGAGUGCAGAAGAGGAGAGUGGAAUUCCAUGUGUAGCGGUGAAAUGCGUAGAUAUAUGGAGGAACACCAGUGGCGAAGGCGGCUCUCUGGUCUGU
rnacentral:rRNA from 1 species